rnacentral:rRNA from 1 species
GGAUUGUAGGCUGCAACUCGCCUACAUGAAGCUGGAAUUGCUAGUAAUCAUAGGUCAGCAUACUAUGGUGAAUACGUUCCCGGGCCUUGUACACACCGCCCGUCACACCAUGAGAGUUGGAAAUACCCGAAGCCUGUGAGCUAACAGUAAUGAGGCAGCAGUCGAAGGUAGAGCCAAUGAUUGGGGUGAAGUCGUAACAAGGUAUC